AGAGUUUGAUCCUGGCUCAGGACGAACGCUGGCGGCGUGCUUAACACAUGCAAGUCGAGCGGAAAGGCCACUUCGGUGGUACUCGAGCGGCGAACGGGUGAGUAACACGUGAGUAAUCUGCCCCUGGCUUUGGGAUAGCCACCGGAAACGGUGAUUAAUACCGGAUAUGACCACGUACUGCAUGGUGUGUGGUGGAAAGUUUUUCGGCCAGGGAUGUGCUCGCGGCCUAUCAGCUUGAUGGUGAGGUAAUGGCUCACCAUGGCUUCGACGGGUAGCCGGCCUGAGAGGGUGACCGGUCACACUGGGACUGAGACGUGUUAAGUCAUGCGCUACGGGAGGCAGCAGUGGGGAAUAUUGGACAAUGGGCGGAAGCCUGAUCCAGCAACGCCGCGUGAGGGAUGACGGCCUUCGGGUUGUAAACCUCUUUCAGUACCGACGAAGCGCAAGUGACGGUAGGUACAGAAGAAGCACCGGCCAACUACGUGCCAGCAGCCGCGGUAAUACGUAGGGUGCGAGCGUUGUCCGGAAUUAUUGGGCGUAAAGGGCUCGUAGGCGGUUUGUCGCGUCGGGAGUGAAAACGCCGUGCUUAACACGGCGCUUGCUUUCGAUACGGGCAGAGUAGAGGUAUGCAGGGGAGAACGGAAUUCCUGGUGUAGCGGUGAAAUCCGCAGAUAUCAGGAGGAACACCGGUGGCGAAGGCGGUUCUCUGGGCAUUACUUGACGCUGAGGAGCGAAAGUGUGGGGAGCGAACAGGAUUAGAUACCCUGAUAGUCCACACCGUAAACGUUGGGCGCUAGGUGUGGGGUCCAUUCCACGGAUUCCGUGCCGCAGCUAACGCAUUAAGCGCCCCGCCUGGGGAGUACGGCCGCAAGGCUAAAACUCAAAGGAAUUGACGGGGGCCCGCACAAGCGGCGGAGCAUGCGGAUUAAUUCGAUGCAACGCGAAGAACCUUACCUGGGUUUGACAUACACCCUGCCGCCUCAGAGAUGGGGCUUCUUUUGGGGGUGUACAGGUGGUGCAUGGCUGUCGUCAGCUCGUGUCGUGAGAUGUUGGGUUAAGUCCCGCAACGAGCGCAACCCUCGUUCUAUGUUGCCAGCACGUAAUGGUGGGGACUCAUAGGAGACUGCCGGGGUCAACUCGGAGGAAGGUGGGGAUGACGUCAAGUCAUCAUGCCCCUUAUGUCCAGGGCUUCACGCAUGCUACAAUGGCCGGUACAAAGGGCUGCGAUCCCGUAAGGAACCGCCGAAUCCCAAAAAGCCGGUCUCAGUUCGGAUUGGGGUCUGCAACUCGACCCCAUGAAGUCGGAGUCGCUAGUAAUCGCAGAUCAGCAACG
rnacentral:rRNA from 1 species